rnacentral:rRNA from 1 species
ACCUUUACAAUGCGGGCAACCGUGAUAAGGGAACCUCGAGUGCCUGUAAACGCAGGCUGUUCAGGUGUUUAAAACGCACCUGGAGAGAGGGCCGGGCAAGACCGGUGCCAGCCGCCGCGGUAAUACCGGCGGCUCGAGUGGUGGCCGCUUUUAUUGGGCUUAAAGCGUUCGUAGCUGGGUUGUUAAGUCUCUUGGGAAAUCUGGCGGCUUAACCGUCAGGCGUCUAAGGGAUACUGGCAAUCUUGGAACCGGGAGAGGUGAGGGGUACUUCGGGGGUAGGGGUGAAAUCCUGUAAUCCUCGAGGGACCACCUGUGGCGAAGGCGCCUCACCAGAACGGCUUCGACAGUGAGGGACGAAAGCUGGGGGAGCAAACCGGAUUAGAUACCCGGGUAGUCCCAGCCGUAAACGAUGCGCGUUAGGUGUAUCGGUGACCACGAGUUACCGAGGUGCCGAAGGGAAACCGUGAAACGCGCCGCCUGGGAAGUACGGUCGCAAGGCUGAAACUUAAAGGAAUUGGCGGGGGAGCAGUGU